GAGGGUAUAGCUCAGUGGUAGAGCGCAUGCUUAGCAUACACGAGGUUCUGGGUUUAGUACUCAGUACUUCCA
rnacentral:tRNA from 1 species